AGCAGCCGCGGUAAUUCCAGCUCCAAUAGCGUAUAUUAAAGUUGUUGCAGUUAAAAAAGCUCGUAGUUGAAUUUCGGGAUCAAUUAAUUGGUCGUGCCUCUGGUACGUACUGAUUUUAUUGGUUUCUCCCUUCUGACGAACCAUGAUGUCAUUAAUUUGGUGUCGUGGAGAAUCAGGACUGUUACUUUGAAAAAAUUAGAGUGUUUAAAGCAAGCUAACGCUUGAAUACAUUAGCAUGGAAUAAUGAAAUAGGACGUUUGAUCCUAUUUUGUUGGUUCCUAGGAUCGACGUAAUGAUUAAUAGGGAUAGUUGGGGGCAUUAGUAUUCAAUUGUCAGAGGUGAAAUUCUUGGAUUUAUUGAAGACUAACUACUGCGAAAGCAUUUGCCAAGGAUGUUUUCAUUAAUCAAGAACGAAAGUUAGGGGAUCGAAGACGAUCAGAUACCGUCGUAGUCUUAACCAUAAACUAUGCCGACUAGGGAUCGGAUGAUGUUUAAUUUUUUAAUUGUACUCAUUCGGCGC
rnacentral:rRNA from 1 species